AAUUAAUAUUGGCAAAAUCUUCGAAAGAGGAUGACGCAAAACCAUGGAUCUACAGCCUCAUUAUUAAUCAGAGGCCAUGACUGCCAGGUUGCAGAA
rnacentral:ncRNA from 1 species